GGGCCAAUGGUUUAGUGGUAUAAUACUUCCUUAGCAUGGAAGUGGUCCUGGGUUCGAUUCCCAGUUGGUCCA
rfam:Pseudomassariella vexata strain CBS 129021 BCR38scaffold_2, whole genome shotgun sequence.